rnacentral:rRNA from 1 species
CCUACGGGUGGCUGCAGUGAGGAAUAUUGGUCAAUGGACGAGAGUCUGAACCAGCCAAGUAGCGUGAAGGAUGACUGCCCUAUGGGUUGUAAACUUCUUUUAUAGGGGAAUAAAAUGUUCCACGUGUGGGAUUUUGUAUGUACCAUAUGAAUAAGGAGCGGCUAACUCCGUGCCAGCAGCCGCGGUAAUACGGAGGAUCCGAGCGUUAUCCGGAUUUGUUGGGUGUCAAGGGAGCGUAGGUGGAUUGUUAAGUCAGUUGUUAAAGUUUGCGGCUAAACCGGUAACUUGCAUUUGAAACUUGCAGUCUUGCGUACAGUAGCGGUGGGCUGAAUUCGUGGUGUAGCGGUGCACUGCUUAGAUAUCAC